rnacentral:rRNA from 1 species
AACGAACGCUGGCGGCAUGCCUAACACAUGCAAGUCGAACGAGACCUUCGGGUCUAGUGGCGCACGGGUGCGUAACGCGUGGGAACCUGCCCUUAGGUUCAGAAUAACUCCCCGCAAGGGGUGCUAAUACCGGAUAAUGUCUUCGGACCAAAGAUUUAUCGCCUUUGGAUGGGCCCGCGUUGGAUUAGCUAGUUGGUAGGGUAAAAGCCUACCAAGGCGACGAUCCAUAGCUGGUCUGAGAGGAUGAUCAGCCACACUGGGACUGAGACACGACCCAGACGCCGACGGGAGGAAGCGGUGGGGAAUAGUGGACAAUGGGCGAAAGCCUGAUCCAGCAAUGCCGCGUGAGUGAUGAAGGCCUUAGGGUUGUAAAGCUCUUUUACCCGGGAUGAUAAUGACAGUACCGGGAGAAUAAGCGCCGGCUAACUCCGUG